rnacentral:rRNA from 1 species
AACGAACGCUGGCGGCAUGCCUAACACAUGCAAGUCGAACGAGACCUUCGGGUCUAGUGGCGCACGUGUGCGUAACGCGUGGGAACUUGCCCUUAGGUUCCGAAUCCCUCCCCGAAAGGGGUGCUAAUACCGGUUAAUGUCUUCGGACCAAAGAUUUUUGGCUUUUGGGUGGGCGCGCGUUGGAUUAGCUAGUUGGUAGGGUAAAAGCAUAGCAAGGCGAGGUUCCAUAGCUGGUCGGAGAGGAUGAUACGCCACACUGGGACUGAGACACGGCCCAGACUGCGACGGGAGGCAGCAGUGGGGAGUAUUGGACAAGGGGGGAAAGCGUGACAAAGCAAUGCCGCGGGAGUCGUGAAGGGCUUAGGAUUGCAAAGCUCUUUGACACGGGGUGAGAAUGACAGUACCGGGAGAAGAAGCACCGGCUAACUACGUG